UACGUAGGGGGCAAGCGUUGUCCGGAAUCAUUGGGCGUAAAGCGCGUGUAGGCGGCCAGAAAAGUCCGCUGUGAAAACUCGAGGCUCAACUUCGAGCUGUCGGUGGAAACUUUCUGGCUAGAGUCCGGAAGAGGAGAAUGGAAUUCCUGGUGUGGCGGUGAAAUGCGCAGAUAUCAGGAAGAACACCCGUGGCGAAGGCGGCUCUCUGGGACGGUACUGACGCUGAGACGCGAAAGCGUGGGGAGCGAACAGG
rnacentral:rRNA from 1 species